UGAUAUUUGAUCACUUGGUCUUGCAGAUAUAAGUCAUGCACGUGCAAAAGGAUACCUGUACCUAAAAAGAAACAAAAUCUGAAUUCCAAAAUGGAUGUUGUUCAAUGAAAUGUGCAGGAUCUUAAAUCUUGGCUCUGCUGAAGAGAUGCUUCUUGGUGCCUGGAUUCUGGAGUAUCUUCUCAGUGGAAAGGAACAUGGAGUUCCCAAUUCCCUCACAUGGUUUCUGAUGCAAGUAAAGGAGUUUGCAGAUCUGAAGAUCUUUUUGAGGUGUGAUGUUCCUGUGGUGCUGUUCUCGCUCUGGGCAGUGAUGCACAGCAGGGACUUAUCCAGAUGGUCUGAGGAGGAGCCACCUCACCAGUGUAAGACUGUAAGAGCUUCUUCACCCUGUUUUGGUCCAAGUUCCUGAGCUGGUAUCUCUGCACAACGUGUUGCUCAUCAAACACCCCAGCUGUCCUCAGGUGAGCCCGUUCCAGCUCCCCAGUGUGUGUUGUGAUGCUCUGACUGAAUUACCUUCAUUACACCUUGGGUAGUGGUUUGUACCUUGGCAAUGCUGCUUUCUCCAUGUCCCACUGGCAGUUCAGG
rnacentral:lncRNA from 1 species